UACGUAGGGGGCAAGCGUUGUCCGGAAUCAUUGGGCGUAAAGCGCGUGUAGGCGGCCAGGUAAGUCCGUUCUGAAAGCCCGGGGCUCAACCCCGGGAGGCGGAUGGAUACUGCUUGGCUCGAGUCCGGAAGAGGCGAGUGGAAUUCCCGGUGUAGCGGUGAAAUGCGCAGAUAUCGGGAGGAACACCAAUGGCGAAGGCAGCUCGCUGGGACGGUACUGACGCUGAGACGCGAAAGCGUGGGGAGCAAACAG
rnacentral:rRNA from 1 species